ACGCUCGACACCUACGGGGGCAGCAGUAGGGAAUCUUCCACAAUGGGCGCAAGCCUGAUGGAGCAACACCGCGUGAGUGAAGAAGGGUUUCGGCUCGUAAAGCUCUGUUGUUGGAGAAGAACGUGCGUGAGAGUAACUGUUCACGCAGUGACGGUAUCCAACCAGAAAGUCACGGCUAACUACGUGCCAACAGCCGCCGGUAAGUACUGAGCGGGCCGUGGCGAAGGACG
rnacentral:rRNA from 1 species